AAGAUGAGGUCAAAAGGCUGGAGCGUGGUUUUUGUGUCUGCGUAUUUUGAAGGAGCCGCGGAGAGAAGGAAACGGCUAGAGUACGCGAUGGCAAUAAAAAGUUGCAUUGGCUUGAUAACUUGUGGAUUUUGUUAAUGAGAGUCAAGUAUGGUCUUUGGUCCCUACGUUGCUUUCAGUUUCCGCUUCAAGUGGCUCUCCAAUAUGGAAGAAGAUAUAUUCUUAUGCUUCAAUGUUUAUGCUAACAUUAGAUAGUGUAUUGAUAAUGAUGCCUCUAUUGAUGUGCUUCAUUAUCCGUGGUUAUCAUCUAUUCUUUUAGGAAGGUGCUUGCUUAGGUUGAUUCUAAUUUAUUGCAAGGUGUUAUGGUUAAAAAUUUAUUACUACUUGGUGAUAGAAAAUGGAAUCGGUUCUUAGUUUCAUAACUUUUUGAAAAAAUGUUAGCUGAUAGAAUUUUUUCUACUCCAAUCUCGAGUGGCAAUAGUAUGGAUAGGUUGGGAUGGAGCCUAUUGUUAUCUAUUUUUUGUCUACGGUUAUUUUAGGUCCGACUUGAUUUCUGGGUCAAUUCGUGAUCUCCACUCAAAAAAGUGCUUCUUUUUGUUGUGCUAUAUCUUUCGCUUAUGGUCAUUAAGGGAUCAAUUCGUCUAUCUUUAGGGUCGACUUGAGUUUGCAUAAGGUCAACUCAUGAUCCACUAGAGUUGACUCAGGGCUAGUUUUCAUUGCUAUUUGUAUUUUAUCUACAACCAUUGUAGGGUUGACUUGACUUCUUCAGGGCUGGGCUCAUGAUCUUCAAGGAUCAACUCGAAAAUGUACUUGUUUUUACUGUGCUCUAUCUUUCGCUUGUGGUCAUUAUAGGGUCGACUCGUGUAUCUUUGGGGCCAAUUCGAGUUUGCUUGGUAUUGACUCAUGAUCCAAUAGUACCAUUCAUGAAAGGGCUAGCUUUUAUUGAUAUGUGUACUCCUUUUGUGGCCAUUCUAGAGUCGACUCGACAUCUUCAGGGGCCAACUCAUGAUCUUUAAGGGUCGACUCAAGAAAGUGCUUGCUUUUACCGUGAUGUGCCUUUCGCUUGUGGUAUCGACUCAUCUAUCUUUGGGGUCAACUUGUAAAAGUUCUAGUUUCAUUUCUAUUUGUAUUUUAUCUACAGUUAUUCCAGAGUUGACUCAACUACUUCGGAGGCCAACUCGUGGUCCGUUAGAGUCUGAAUUUCUUGGGGUCGAUUUGUGAUAUACUAGGGCCAACUGGUGAAAGGGAUGGCUUUCAUUGCUAUUUAGUAUUAUGUUUGCGACCAUUCCAGGGUCAGACUCAACUUCUUCAGGGACCAAUUAUUCUUCUUUAGGGGUCGACUUGAGAGAGUGCUUAUUUUUGCUGCGCUCUACUUUUCGUCUAUGGUCAUUGUGGGGUCAAAUCGAGUUUGCUUGGUGUUGGCUCAUUAUCUACGAGGGUCGACUCGUGAAAGGGUUGGUUUUUAUUGCUGUCUGUAUUCUGUUUGCAUCCAUUCUAGGCUUGACUUGACUUUUUCAGGGGUGGACUCGUGAUCUUCAUGGGUCGACUAGUCUUUUUCAAGGCUCGACUCAAGAAAGUACUUGUUUUUGCUGUGUUAUGCCUUUCUCCUAUGGCCAUUGAAGGGUCGACUCGUCUAUCCUUGGGGUUGACUCGAUAUAUAUACAUAUACAUAUAUAUAUAUAUAUAUAUAUAUACAUAUAUAUACAUAUACAUAUACAUAUAUAGAUAUAUAUGUAUAUCUAUAAUAUGGAUUUAUAUAUACAUAUGUACAUAUGUAUAAAUGUAUAUAUCUUGAUAAAUAUAUAAAUGUAUAUAUGUAUAUAUGUAAUAUACAUAUAUAUGUAUGUAUGUAUCUAUACAUACAUACAUAUA
rnacentral:lncRNA from 1 species